AGAAGUGGUACUACGCCAUAUUGGCGUUGAAGAUGGAAACACUGUGAAAGCUAAAGAUAUCAGGGUUCUCAGAGUUUGAUGAAUAUGUUCCCAUGGUAGACAAAGUUGUGGAUUCAAGCUGGAAGAAGUGUCCCAUCAAAACCUCCCGUCUCCUAGAAGUAUGCAAGUAUAUAUUAGAUUUCAUUAGGGAGUUGCAGGCUUUUGCAAGUCAAUGGGUAUAUGUUGUUAUAUGAGGUAUCAUAUUUAGUGGAUUCCAUUUACGUGCAUGUAUUUUUCAUAUGAGGUAUCAUAUAAUGCUUUGGCAGGGAAUUUUUAUUUUCAGUAUGAUUGUACUUUUUGGUUUGAUGAAUAGGAUUCUUAUUAAACAAUCAUGUGAAUAGGAUUUAUUUUGUGAAUAGAAUUCUUAUGAAACAAUCGUAUGUAUUA